AAUCAACGCUGGCGGCGUGCCUCAGACAUGCAAGUCGAACGCUGCUGUUCGCCUUCGGGUGGACAGCGGAGUGGCGCACGGGUGAGUAACACGUAGGUAAUCUACCUUUGGGUGGGGAAUAACAGCCGGAAACGGCUGCUAAUACCGCAUAAUGCAGCGGCAUCACAUGAUGACAGUUGUUAAAGCGAGGGAUCGUAAGACCUCGCGCCUGAAGAGGAGCCUGCGGCAGAUUAGGUAGUUGGUGAGGUAAUGGCUCACCAAGCCUGCGA
rnacentral:rRNA from 1 species